AGCGCGGAUAGGCUUGAUGGC
rnacentral:misc_RNA from 1 species